GAUGAACGCUGGCGGCGUGCCUAAUACAUGCAAGUCGAGCGAACAGAUAAGGAUCUUGCUCCUUUGACGUUAGCGGCGGACGGGUGAGUAACACGUGGAUAACCUACCUAUAAGACUGGGAUAACUUCGGGAAACCGGAGCUAAUACCGGAUAACAUAUUGAACCGCAUGGUUCAAUAGUGAAAGGCGGCUUUGCUGUCACUUCUAGAUGGAUCCGCGCCGUAUUAGCUAGUUGGUAAGGUAACGGCUUACCAAGGCAACGAUACGUAGCCGACCUGAGAGGGUGAUCGGCCACACUGGAACUGAGACACGGUCCAGACUCCUACGGGAGGCAGCAGUAGGGAAUCUGCCGCAAUGGGCGAAAGCCUGACGGAGCAACGCCGCGUGAGUGAUGAAGGUCUUCGGAUCGUAAAACUCUGUUAUCAGGGAAGAACAAAUGUGUAAGUAACUGUGCACAUCUUGACGGUACCUGAUCAGAAAGCCACGGCUAACUACGUG
rnacentral:rRNA from 1 species